GGGAGGCAGCAGUAGGGAAUCUUCCACAAUGGACGAAAGUCUGAUGGAGCAAUGCCGCGUGAGUGAAGAAGGGUUUCGGCUCGUAAAACUCUGUUGUUAAAGAAGAACACCUUUGAGAGUAACUGUUCAAGGGUUGACGGUAUUUAACCAGAAAGCCACGGCUAACUACGUGCCAGCAGCCGCGGUAAUACGUAGGUGGCAAGCGUUGUCCGGAUUUAUUGGGCGUAAAGCGAGCGCAGGCGGUUUUUUAAGUCUGAUGUGAAAGCCUUCGGCUUAACCGGAGAAGUGCAUCGGAAACUGGGAGACUUGAGUGCAGAAGAGGACAGUGGAACUCCAUGUGUAGCGGUGGAAUGCGUAGAUAUAUGGAAGAACACCAGUGGCGAAGGCGGCUGUCUAGUCUGUAACUGACGCUGAGGCUCGAAAGCAUGGGUAGCGAACAGGAUUAGAUACCCUGGUAGUCCAUGCCGUAAACGAUGAGUGCUAAGUGUUGGAGGGUUUCCGCCCUUCAGUGCUGCAGCUAACGCAUAAGCACUCCGCCGGGGGAGAACG
rnacentral:rRNA from 1 species